rnacentral:rRNA from 1 species
GACGAACGCUAGCGGCGUGCUUAACACAUGCAAGUCGAACGGAAAGGCCCUUCUUUUGUGGGGUGCUCGAGUGGCGAACGGGUGAGUAACACGUGAGUAACCUGCCCUUGACUUUGGUAUAACUUCAGGAAACUGGGGCUAAUACCGGAUAGGAGCUCCUGCUGCAUGGUGGGGGUUGGAAAGUUUCGGCGGUUGGGGAUGGACUCGCGGCUUAUCAGCUUGUUGGUGGGGUAGUGGCUUACCAAGGCCUUGACGGGUAGCCGGCCUGAGAGGGUGACCGGCGCCACUGGGACUGAGAUAAGGCCCCGAGUCGUACGGGAGGCAGCGGUGGGGAAUAUUGCACAAUGGGCGGAAGCCUGAUGCAGCCACGCCGCGUGCGGGAUGAAGGCCUUCGGGUCGUAAACCGCUUUCGCCUGUGACGAAGCGUGAGUGACGGUAAUGGGUAAAGAAGCACCGGCUAACUAGGUG